AUGUGGUUUAAUUGGAUGCAAAGCGGAGAACUUUAGCAGGGCUUGACAUGCCACCAAUCCUCUGGAAAGAGAGGGGUGUCUUUGGGAACGCGGACACAGGUUGUGCAUGGCUGUCGUUAGCUCGUGACGUAAGGUGUUGGGUUAAGGUUCUAUGUCGUAUAUAAGCAGUGAUUUCGAAUCCAUAGGUUAAUCGUACUCUGGCAACUUUACGU
rnacentral:ncRNA from 1 species